rnacentral:misc_RNA from 1 species
GAUGAAGAACGCAGUGAAAUGCGAUAAGUAAUGCGAAUUGCAGAAUUCAGUGAGUCAUCGAAUCUUUGAACGCACAUUGCGCCCUGUGGUAUUCCGCAGGGCAUGCCUGUUCGAGCGUCAUUUCAACCCUCAAGCUCUGCUUGGUGUUGGGCCCUGCCCGCUGCGGCCGGCCCUAAAGACAGUGGCGGUGCCGCCUGGCCCUGAGCGUAGUACAUCUCUCGCUCCAGUGCCCGGUGGUAGCCUGCCAGAACCCCAACUCUCGUGGUUGACCUCGGAUCAGGUAGGGAUACCCGCUGAACUUAAGCAUAUCAAUAAGCGGAGGA